UACGGAAGGCAGCAGUGGGGAAUAUUGCACAAUGGGCGCAAGCCUGAUGCAGCCAUGCCGCGUGUAUGAAGAAGGCCUUCGGGUUGUAAAGUACUUUCAGUCGUGAGGAAGGUGUUAAGGUUAAUAACCUUAGCAAUUGACGUUAGCGACAGAAGAAGCACCGGCUAACUCCGUGCCAGCAGCCGCGGUAAUACGGAGGGUGCGAGCGUUAAUCGGAAUUACUGGGCGUAAAGGGCACGCAGGCGGUUAAUUAAGUUGGAUGUGAAAUCCCCGGGCUUAACCUGGGAAUGGCAUUCAAGACUGGUUAGCUAGAGUCUUGUAGAGGGGGUAGAAUUCCAUGUGUAGCGGUGAAAUGCGUAGAGAUGUGGAGGAAUACCGGUGGCGAAGGCGGCCCCUGGGACAAAGGACUGACGCUCAUGUGCGAAAGCGUGGGGAGCGAAACAGGGAUUAGAUACC
rnacentral:rRNA from 1 species